UGCUGCACGACCAACACACACUUAGACCUAUGCCCCCCUUCAAGAUGUUUAUGAAAAUUAAACGAGCCGAAGGCGAGCAGGAGGUUCCCUCGCGCCGGAGGCACCGUGUCACACCACGACGGACAACGCGCCGCACGAACUAGCACGCUGCACGACCAACACACACUUCGACCUAUGCCCCCCCUUCAAGAUGUUUAUGAAAA